rnacentral:sRNA from 1 species
GCGGAGGAAAAGAAACCAACAGGGAUUGCCCUAGUAACGGCGAGUGAAGCGGCAACAGCUCAAAUUUGAAAUCUGGCGUCUUCGGCGUCCGAGUUGUAAUUUGCAGAGGGCGCUUUGGCAUUGGCAGCGGUCCAAGUUCCUUGGAACAGGACGUCACAGAGGGUGAGAAUCCCGUACGUGGUCGCUAGCCUUUACCGUGUAAAGCCCCUUCGACGAGUCGAGUUGUUUGGGAAUGCAGCUCUAAAUGGGAGGUAAAUUUCUUCUAAAGCUAAAUACUGGCCAGAGACCGAUAGCGCACAAGUAGAGUGAUCGAAAGAUGAAAAGCACUUUGGAAAGAGAGUUAAAAAGCACGUGAAAUUGUUGAAAGGGAAGCGCUUGCAGCCAGACUUGCCUGUAGUUGCUCAUCCGGGUUUCUACCCGGUGCACUCUUCUAUAGGCAGGCCAGCAUCAGUUUGGGCGGUUGGAUAAAGGUCUCUGUCAUGUACCUCCUCUCGGGGAGAACUUAUAGGGGAGACGACAUGCAACCAGCCCGGACUGAGGUCCGCGCAUCUGCUAGGAUGCUGGCGUAAUGGCUGUAAGCGGCCCGUCUUGAAACACGGACCAAGGAGUCUAACAUCUAUGCCGAGUGUUUGGGUGUCAAGCCCGAGCGCGUAAUGAAAGUGAACGGAGGUGGGAACCUUUCGGGGUGCACCAUCGACCGAUCCUGAUGUCUUCGGAUGGAUUUGAGUAAGAGCAUAGCUGUUGGGACCCGAAAGAUGGUGAACUAUGCUUGAAUAGGGUGAAGCCAGAGGAAACUCUGGUGGAGGCUCGCAGCGGUUCUGACGUGCAAAUCGAUCGUC